UACAAACAUCUGUGAGGUUAACCCCCUUGACAACGGUGCACAUUUCAAAACUGCACUGUGGUGGAAGCACCUUGCAGGCACACAUGUCGGAUUAGAUUGCUAAUGAGAAUGGAAGUGCCGAUUUGAUGCUUGAUAUGUGUAUGCCGAUUUCGUAUUAUCGCUGGAAGAUAUUUCCACUGAGACACCCAGAACUACUCCAGCCAUGGCCGCAGAAAAUGAAAUGCAUACACUGGACUCCCACCAAGUUCUCCAAGCUGUGUUCAGAGCACUUCGAAAAUGACUGCUUCCACAGGCUUGGUGGCAAGACUAACCUCAAACAAGGUGCAGUGCCCACACUGUUUACCUUUCGAGCGGUCAGACCUCAAUCAACACCCCCGAACUGACCUUCCAUCCACCUCCCAAGUGGUCCAAUCUCAACGGUACCCUCAGACUGAUUUUCCCUCUCCACAAGCCCCAUCAACAGUGCAACUUCAAGCAGCAUCAAGCAGCCCUGAAGCUCCAUCUUCGCGACAGGCCAGUUGCCCUUGCGACCACAGCUACACAGUUGUGCUUCCACGACGGGACAGGAUACUCUAGCGGCCAGCAAGC